AACGUGUCAGUGCAUGUGUAUAUGUCUAUGUGCACAAGUUUGUGUAUUAAAUAUACGUGUGUUUGUGUGUGUAUCAGUAGCAUCUGAGUGUGUGUGCUUGUGUGUGUGUUUAUGUGUGUGAGAGUGAGUGAGAGAGAGAGAGAGAGAGAGAGAGAGUGUGUGUGCGAGAGAUGAUCGGAGAGAGAGACAGAGAGAGAGAGUCCGAGAGACGAUCUGAGAGAUACAGAGACAUAGAGAGAGAAAGAGAGAGAGAGAGAGAGAGAGAGAGAGAGAGAGAGAGCAACGUGCGCCUCUGCACGCUGAUGCAAACGACCACACACAGGAAAUAAGCGCAAAGCACAAGCUUGCCUUUGUUGUGCACUUGCUCUUGCCCUGCCUCUUUCUGUCUCUCUCUCUCUGUCACUACCCUGCCAUGUGCCAGUGACUCUCUCUUACUCCCACUCGACUCCACUCUUCCAUCUCUAAAUCUCUCCCAUCUGGGACCUGCUACCCUACUCUCCCCUACCCUCCCUUCUUCUCUGUGUUCCCCUCUAAUGCGGCUAUUGACCUGCCCUGGAUCAGCAAGUUCGGAAGAGAUCGACUCACAGACUGAGGGGAAGCUGCCACUCUCGCCGCUCACAAGGACCGUUGCUAGGGCCAGCUGUCACCGCGGCACCACGACCUGUGACCUCUGGCUCGUGGAAACGCUUCAAGUCUUGGCAACGGCACACCACGACAACAGGGAUUAUGGGCAACCUUAUAUGUGGUGCUGGACGAAAAAAGACAUCAGAAGCCAAGAAUGAAUCUGAUGGUAAGAUUUAAUUCACUACUUGACCGAGCAGGGGUUCAUGUGGGGUUUGUGUAUAAUGCAUAAUGGAUUGUGUGUGAUGAAAUACUCAAUAAAAGAUGUUUGAAUACAAACAUACACACACACACACACACAGACGCACGCACGCACGCACACACACAAACACACAAACACACAUACACACAUACACACAUACAUGCUUAGAUUUCUUCUUUCUUUCCACCCCCCUAGACAACACAAAUGCAGACAACACGGGCAAGGACACGCCAGGGACACAGCCAAAGGAGGAAGUCCUCUAUGCAACAAUUGACCAUGGCAAUGGCAAGAAAGCAGGAAAUGUGAUGAGGAUCGUGGAGGGAGAUGACUGUGACUAUGCUGUCGUCAACAUCCCCUCCGAGGACAAGCUGUCAAUCAAAGAGGACUGCUCUGACGACUAUGUGCUAAUGGGUUGAGCUUACGGAGGCCCGAUAGGGACACGAAGCUUCAUAGGUGAAGGGCUUAACCAGGUUGCACACUUCACUACUGACAAACAUCGAGAUAUGUGGCGGGUGUAUGUUGGUAUAUUAGACCAAUAGAAUUGCUUAUUGUAUAAGGAAAGGUUUGGUUUUGGUCGGUACUUUCUCUCUCCAUCACACACACACACAUAAACACACACACACAGAGCUUUACUGAGGUGUAUGCAUGUGGACUAUGGAAUAUACACAAGAAAACAAACAUUUAGGGUAAGCACACAGCGAUGCAGAUAUCUACACAUCUACACAUGCAUAUUUACUGCAAGACUAUUUUGUGUAUAAAGAAGCAUCAGAGCAUUUGUCGCACCUUUUUUUCAUUUUUAAACUGAGAUAUGAAUGUAUGUAUGAACAUUUUGCAUUUUUUCUGUUUAAUUUAUUUACAUCCAAAUGUUCACCUUUUUAAUGUUUUGAUAUGUGCAUUUUGUCUGUCAUUAUAUUGAAGUUUGUUUAUGUGUGUUUGUUUUGUUUGUUUUGGAUACAGAAAUAUAAUACCAGUAUGUGUGUCCACACAAAAUCUAAUGAAUGACUUGAUGUGAACAGAGUUUAAUGGAGUUAUUUGAAUCAAUAAACAGCAAAUAUAUCUCUUAGCUCUCUUUUGC
rnacentral:lncRNA from 1 species